AAUAAUCUAGGCUAUGAGAUUGACAAGAGUACUGUUAAAAAAGAAGCACAAAGGAGCCGGUACAGGACAGCUGAGGACCCCUAAAAAUUAUCAGAAUCCCGAAAAAAUUCAAGGAGUCCUCACUCACACUAAGGGAGUGGAGUUGAUUCCUAAAGUCCCAAAAGUUACAUUUGGAGGAGGUCUAGAGAGCAUCCAUCAAGGGACAGUGAGGCGUGUGAUACAAUUAAAAACGCCAUGGGAUGUUAAGAGAGACCUUCAGUUGGAGCAGAUAAAACGGGUUAAUGCGCACACACUUAAUAGUACACCUUCUUAUCUAAAUGAGGAAGAGGAGAGAAUAUUUAUGUCAUUACUGGAAUCUAAAUCUAUGGCCAAAAAGGCAGCUGAAAAAGAGGACUCUCCAAUACUGGACAUGCUCAAUGAGAUGGAGGGUAGGAAAAUUGAAGAUAUAGUUUGGAAAAUGAGACGAAAGAGUACCCCUCGUGAAAGUGAUUUGAAACGCAAGUACCAGCCUCGAGAGAUCAGAGCAGAUCUGUAUAAUAUUAAUGAAGGUCUUCAAGAUAACAGAGGACAACAUCGACCUGGAGAUCCCCAGUUACCGCUACUGUGAUAUUAUGUACAUUGUUAAUGUUAAAUCAGGAUUUGCUUCUAAAUUAACUGAUAAUGUAAUGAUAAUUUAUUUAAACAUAGUUGAAUAAGGUUUAAAGUUUAUACUGAUUUUUAUAUAUCAACCAAAUUCAUUGGCUUUUCUAACUGAGCGAGCAUUUCCUUAAUGAUUUAAAGAAACAUUCGAUGAGGUUGAUGCUGCCAUGAACUGAUAUGAAGUUUCAGAAUUAAUUUAUUAACUUAUUAAGUGACCAUUUUUAUUUUGAU